rnacentral:rRNA from 1 species
UACAGAGGGUGCAAGCGUUAUCCGGAUUUACUGGGUUUAAAGGGUGCGUAGGCGGUCCUUUAAGUCAGUGGUGAAAUCUCCCCGCUCAACGGGGAAACUGCCAUUGAUACUAUUGGUCUUGAAUUUAGUUGAGGUGGGCGGAAUGUGUCGUGUAGCGGUGAAAUGCUUAGAUGUGACACAGAACACCGAUUGCGAAGGCAGCUCGCUAAACUAAUAUUGACGCUGAGGCACGAAAGCGUGGGGAUCAAACAGG